rnacentral:rRNA from 1 species
UGGGGAAUAUUGGACAAUGGGCGAAAGCCUGAUCCAGCCAUGCCGCGUGUGUGAAGAAGGUCUUAGGAUCGUAAAGCACUUUAAGUUGGGAGGAAGGGCAGUAAAUUAAUACUUUGCUGUUUUGACGUUACCGACAGAAUAAGCACCGGCUAACUCUGUGCCAGCAGCCGCGGUAAUACAGAGGGUGCAAGCGUUAAUCGGAAUUACUGGGCGUAAAGCGCGCGUAGGUGGUUCGUUAAGUUGGAUGUGAAAUCCCCGGGCUCAACCUGGGAACUGCAUUCAAAACUGUCGAGCUAGAGUAUGGUAGAGGGUGGUGGAAUUUCCUGUGUAGCGGUGAAAUGCGUAGAUAUAGGAAGGAACACCAGUGGCGAAGGCGACCACCUGGACUGAUACUGACACUGAGGUGCGAAAGCGUGGGGAGCAAACAGGAUUAGAUACCCAAGUAGUCCCUGAGCGGGCUGGCAAGGCGCAU